rnacentral:rRNA from 1 species
UUCCAGACUCCUACGGGAGGCAGCAGUGGGGGAUAUUGCACAAUGGGGGAAACCCUGAUGCAGCGACGCCGCGUGAGCGAUGAAGUAUUUCGGUAUGUAAAGCUCUAUCAGCAGGGAAGAAAAUGACGGUACCUGACUAAGAAGCCCCGGCUAACUACGUGCCAGCAGCCGCGGUAAUACGUAGGGGGCAAGCGUUAUCCGGAUUUACUGGGUGUAAAGGGAGCGUAGACGGCGGUGCAAGCCAGAUGUGAAAGCCCGGGGCUCAACCCCGGGACUGCAUUUGGAACUGUGCUGCUAGAGUGUCGGAGAGGCAGGCGGAAUUCCUAGUGUAGCGGUGAAAUGCGUAGAUAUUAGGAGGAACACCAGUGGCGAAGGCGGCUUACUGGACUGUAACUGACGUUGAGGCUCGAAAGCGUGGGGAGCAAACAGGAUUAGAUACCCGCGUAAU